GGAGGAAAGCAGGGGAUCGUAAGACCUUGCGUUAAUGGAGCGGCCGAUAUCUGAUUAGCUAGUUGGUGAGGUAAAGGCUCACCAAGGCGACGAUCAGUAGCUGGUUUGAGAGAACGACCAGCCACACUGGAACUGAGACACGGUCCAGACUCCUACGGGAGGCAGCAGUGGGGAAUUUUGGACAAUGGGGGCAACCCUGAUCCAGCCAUUCCGCGUGAGUGAAGAAGGCCUUCGGGUUGUAAAGCUCUUUCGCAAGGGAAGAAAACUUAUGAUCGAAUAAAUCAUGAGGCUGACGGUACCUUGAUAAGAAGCACCGGCUAACUACGUGCCAGCAGCCGCGGUAAUACGUAGGGUGCGAGCGUUAAUCGGAAUUACUGGGCGUAAAGCGUGCGCAGGCGGUUUUGUAAGUCGGAUGUGAAAUCCCCGGGCUCAACCUGGGAACUGCGUUUGAAACUACAAGGCUAG
rnacentral:rRNA from 1 species